GACGAACGCUGGCGGCGUGCUUAACACAUGCCAGUCGAACGGAAAGGCCCUGCUUUUGUGGGGUGCUCGAGUGGCGAACGGGUGAGUAACACGUGAGUAACCUGCCCUUGACUUUGGGAUAACUUCAGGAAACUGGGGCUAAUACCGGAUAGGAGCUCCUGCUGCAUGGUGGGGGUUGGAAAGUUUCGGCGGUUGGGGAUGGACUCGCGGCUUAUCAGCUUGUUGGUGGGGUAGUGGCUUACCAAGGCUUUGACGGGUAGCCGGCCUGAGAGGGUGACCGGCCACAUUGGGACUGAGAUACGGCCCAGACUCCUACGGGAGGCAGCAGUGGGGAAUAUUGCACAAUGGGCGGAAGCCUGAUGCGGCAACGCCGCGUGCGGGAUGACGGCCUUCGGGUUGUGAACCGCUUUCGCCUGUGACGAAGCGUGAGUGACGGUAAUGGGUAAAGAAGCACCGGCUAACUACGUG
rnacentral:rRNA from 1 species